AGAGUUUGAUCCUGGCUCAGGAUGAACGCUGGCGGCGUGCCUAAUACAUGCAAGUCGAACGCUUCACUUCGGUGAAGAGUGGCGAACGGGUGAGUAAUACAUAAGUAACCUGGCAUCUACAGGGGGAUAACUGAUGGAAACGUCAGCUAAGACCGCAUAGGUGUAGAGAUCGCAUGAACUCUAUAUGAAAAGUGCUACGGGACUGGUAGAUGAUGGACUUAUGGCGCAUUAGCUGGUUGGUAGGGUAACGGCCUACCAAGGCGACGAUGCGUAGCCGACCUGAGAGGGUGACCGGCCACACUGGGACUGAGACACGGCCCAGACUCCUACGGGAGGCAGCAGUAGGGAAUUUUCGGCAAUGGGGGAAACCCUGACCGAGCAACGCCGCGUGAAGGAAGAAGUAAUUCGUUAUGUAAACUUCUGUCAUAGAGGAAGAACGGUGGAUAUAGGGAAUGAUAUCCAAGUGACGGUACUCUAUAAGAAAGCCACGGCUAACUACGUGCCAGCAGCCGCGGUAAUACGUAGGUGGCGAGCGUUAUCCGGAAUUAUUGGGCGUAAAGAGGGAGCAGGCGGCACUAAGGGUCUGUGGUGAAAGAUCGAAGCUUAACUUCGGUAAGCCAUGGAAACCGUAGAGCUAGAGUGUGUGAGAGGAUCGUGGAAUUCCAUGUGUAGCGGUGAAAUGCGUAGAUAUAUGGAGGAACACCAGUGGCGAAGGCGACGAUCUGGCGCAUAACUGACGCUCAGUCCCGAAAGCGUGGGGAGCAAAUAGGAUUAGAUACCCUAGUAGUCCACGCCGUAAACGAUGAGUACUAAGUGUUGGGG
rnacentral:rRNA from 1 species